GCCAGCUGCAGUGGCGUGUGCCUGUAAUCCCAGCUGCCAGGGAGGCUGAGGCAGGAGGAUCACUCGAGUCCAGGAGUUCUGGGCUGUAGUGCGCUGUGCCGAUCGGGUGUCCGCCCUAAGCUCAGCAUCAAUAUGGUGACCUCCCGGGAGCGGGGGACCACCAGCUUGCCCAAGGAGGUGUGACCCAGCCCAGGUCAGAAACAGAGCAAGUCGAAACUCCCGCGCUGAUCAGAAGGGAGACGGGAUUGUGGCAUGGACGUCCCCCCUAGGGGGUCGUUUCUCACUUUCU
rnacentral:SRP_RNA from 1 species